AGCCAUGCGGUGAGCACAGAGCGAACUAUUCUUUCGCCUUUUACUAAAGAAUACCGUGCGUUCGCCGCUCAAUGUAGCAUACACCAAUUUUUUUAAGGGGUAGAUUUCAGUUGAAUCCU